rnacentral:rRNA from 1 species
AUGAACGCUGGCGGCGUGUUUUAGGCAUGCAAGUCGAACGGGUUUAAUUUGCGAUUACAUCAAGAGUUAAACUAGUGGCAAACGGGUGCGUAACACCCUGGUAAUCUACCCCGAAGUUCGGAACAACUCAUCGAAAGACGAGCUAAUACCGGAUGUGAUCAUCGCACGAUGGUGUGAUGAGGAAAGCAGCAAUGCACUUUGGGAGGAACCUAGGUUCCAUCAGCUUGUUGGUGAGGUAACGGCUCACCAAGGCUACGACGGAUAGGGGGCGUGAGAGCGCGACCCCCCUCACUGGGAUUGCGACACUGCCCAGACUCCUACGGGAGGCUGCAGUCGAGAAUCUUCCCCAAUGGACGAAAGUCUGAGGGAGCGACGCCGCGUGUAGGAAGAAGCCCUUCGGGGUGUAAACUACUUUUGUAUGGGACGAACAAUGACGGUACCAUGCGAAUAAGGGGCUGCUAACUCUGU